AGUGCUCUUGGGGAGGCUCCUGGAAGAAGUGAUAUAUCAGACAGACAUACUAUUCAAAAGCUUAAAACUUAGCAUCUGACUAGAAACACCAUGCCACAAAGAAGCUUGGGAUGAAGGAUCACGAGGCGAGAGGAGUCCAGCACCCAGCACACCCACUGGGAGCUACAUGCAUGAGACCCCACCCAAUCAGCAGAACCAUACAGCCAACAGAAUCAUGAGAAAUAAGAAGUUGUUGUUGUUCUAAGCCACUAAGCUUUGGAGUGGCUUGUUACACAUCAAUAGGUAUCCAUGCUUGCAACUACUACAAUCAUCUAAAGUUGAGAGAGGCCGGGCCCGAUGGCUCACUCCUGUAAUCCCAGCACUUUGAGAGGCUUAGGCGGGCAGAUCACUUGAGGUCAGGAGUUCGAGACCAGCCAACAUGAUGAAACCCUGUCUUUACUAAAAAUACAAAAACAAGCCAAGCGUGGUGGCUUGUACCUGUAAUCCCAGCUACUCAGGAGGCUGAGGUGGGAGAAUCGCUUGAACCUAGGAGGUGAAGGUUGCAGAGUGCCGAGAUUGUGCCACUGCACUCCAGCCUCAAAAAAUGUUGAGAGAGAUUUUGUUGAUAUAGCAAGAGUAUAAAUUGUGCCGGGACGGUGGCUCAUGCCUAUAAUCCCAGCACUUUGGGAGACUGAAGCAGGAGGAUCACUUGAGGUCAGGAGUUUGAGACCAGCCUGGCCAACAUGGUGAAACCCUAUCUCUACUAAAAAUACAAAAAUUAGCUGGGCAUAGUGGCACAUGCCCAGCUACUCGGGAGGCUGAGGUAGGAGAAUCGCUUGAACCCGAGAGGUGGAGGUUGUGGUGAGCCAAGAUCACACCAUUGCACUCCAGCCUGGGCAACAAGAGCAAAACUCUGUCUUAAAAAAAAAAAAAAAGUAUAAAUUGGGACCAAACUAAACAGCUUCAGUUAAGAUCCUGUUAGCAUAUGUGAAGCUACCACAGGCCCAAGUUUGUUAUCUGUGAUUGUUAUUGUGACGUGAGAUUUUCUUUUUUUUUAAAUUUCUUUCUUUCUUUCUUUCUUUCUUUUUGAGACGGAGCCUCGCUCUGUUGCCAGGCUGGAGUGCAGUGGCUCAGUCUUGGCUCACCACAAACUCUGCCUCCCGGGUCCAAGCGAUUCUCCUGCCUCAGCCUCCUGAGUAGCUGGGAUUAUAGGCAUGCACUGCCAUGCCUGGCUAAUUUUGUAUUUUUAGUAGAGAUGGGGUUUCUCCAUGUUGGUCAGGCUGGUCUUGAACUCCUGACCUCAGGUUAUCCACCCACCUCAGCCUCCCAAAAUGCUGGAAUUACAGGCGUGAGCCACUGCGCCUGGCCUUCAUUCAAGAAUAAUUUACUGAAUGUUUUUUAAAUUUCAUUUUAUGUGCCUGGCAUUGUUCUGGGCAUUGGACAUGCAGUUGUGAAUAAACCCUUGAAUCUCUGCUUCUGUGUGAUAUACAUGCUGGUAGAGGGCUUCUGAGUGCAAAUAAACAAAUACACCAAAUCAAAUAGAUAUAAGUGCUGUGAAAAAAGAACAGUAAUGUAAUACGAAUGCUGAAAGACAUGGAGGGUGCCUUAGAGUAGAUCAGGGAAGGCCCCUUGAGAUGAUGUUUGGCAGAUAUGGGUUUAAGUCCUAGUGCUGCCACCUUUUUUUUUUUUUUUCUCCCUGGAGACAGGAUCCACUUUGUACCCAGAGUGGAGUGCAGUGACACAAAUCACAGCUCACUGCAGCCUCAACCUCCAGGCUCAAGCAAUCCUACUGCCUCAGCCUCCUGGUAGCUGGGACUACAGGCAUGCACCACCAUGCCCAGAUAAUUUUUGUAUUUUUUUGUAGGGAUGGGGUUUUGCCAUGUUGCUCAGGUUAGUCUUGAACCCCUGAGCUCAAGUGAUCUGCCUGCCUCAGCUUCCCAAAUUUGGUAUAUAGGCAUGGUAUAUAGUUGGUAUUAUAGUCAUGAGCCGCUGUGCCCAGCGUACAACAAUUAAAAAAAAAAGCUAUACACAAAGAGUCUUAGCCACAUUCAUGGUUGAUGCAUAUCAAAAGAUAGUGAAUUUAGCUAGGAAUGGUGGCAUGCACCUGUAGUCCCAGCUACUUGGGAGACUGAGGUGGGAGGCUCACUUGAGCUCAGGAGUUUGAGACCAGCCUGGGCAACAUAGCAAGGCCCCAUCUCUACAAAAAUUAUUAUUUACAAAAAGUAUAUAUAUAUAUCUCCACACCUGGUGGUUUUACUUUUUUGUUUUGUAGACCUCUAUAUAUUUACAGAAACUUCCAUAGUAAUGAACUACAGAAAUGAGCUCUGAAAAUACAGUCUUAUUUUUUUUGAGGCAGGAUUUCACACUCUCUCCCAGACUGGAGUGCAGUAGCGCAAUCUCGGAUCACUGCAACUUCCUCCACUCAGGCUCAAGCGAUUCUUCUGCCUCAGCCUUCCGAGUAGCUGGGAUUACAGGCGCGUACGACUACCACCCAGCUAAUUUUUGUAUUUUUAGUAGAGACAGGGUUUCACCAUGUUGGCCAGGCUGGUCUCAAACUCCUGACCUCAAAUGAUCCACCCGCCUUGGUCUCCCAAAGUGCUGGGAUCACAGGCGUGAGCCACUGCGCCAGGCGGAAAAUACAGUCUUAUAGGGUGGUUUUAGAGUUGUCAAAAUGACUGGGAAAUGUUACUGGCAUUUAGUUGGUGAAGGUGAAGUUUGUUAAGUGUCCAGCAAUGCACACAGGCAAUCCUGCAUAAUCAAGGACUAUCCAGCUGGGCGUGGUGGCUCACACCUGUAAUCCCAGCACUUUGGGAAGCCGAGGUGGGUGGAUCACCUGAGGUCGGGAGUUCAAGACCAGCCUAACCAACAUGGAGAAACUCCAUCUCCACUAAAAAUACAAAAUUUGUCGGGCGUGGUGGCGCAUGCCUGUAAUCCCAGCUACUCAGGAGGCUGAGGCAGGAGAAUCACUUGAACCUGGGAGGCAGAGGUUGCCGAGAUCACGCCAUUGCACUCCAGCCUGGGCAACAAGAGUGAAAUUCCGACUCAAAAAAAGAAAAAAAGAACUAUCCAACCCAAUUGCAAUAGUGUCUCCACUGAAGAACACUGGAACCAUGCCUGAGCUUGCCACACCAUCGGGAAGAGCGAAGACCUAAAAGAAACUAAUAUUGGAAACAGAUUGUGAGGAC
rnacentral:lncRNA from 10 species